ensembl:lncRNA
CCGAGAAGUUUAACUGAGAUAUAAACUGCAUAUCCAACCUUCUACUGUGUAUUCUUCAGUUUUUGAGAAAAGAAAUUGUGUUUUUUAUCCCAGCAAUGGUUGUUAUUACAGUAGACCUUGUAGAGGUCAACAGUCGAAUUACUUUCUGUUUCUCAGUGUGUCUCGCUGUCUUCCUCUCUGCGUCUCUUUUCAUAUCUCUCAUUCGUUCUGUCAUAAAAUCACAGAUUAGGUGAGCAAAUGUUCAGACACACUGAGGAGUACCAGCUGCCGUUGGUAUGGUGAUGUGCGCUUUCAGCAGGCAGAGCCCCUGGCUUCCCGGUGUGUUGAUUAUGGCCCAUUAUGUUAUUUGCGCAGACAUUGUUUUUAAUCGGCCUGCACCCGUUGCCAUGGUAAUGUGGAUGGGGCAAUGAUUUCGAGGAGCUGGGGUCUCACAGCUCGCUGCCGUUUCAUACGCUGUUUGCUUACCGGUCACAUAUUUCGAUGGUAUGGUCAGCGGUGAGGUGUGAGAGGCCUGUGUGUCAUCAUCUGAUAAAGGAAGAGAGAAGUUCCCUUUCAAAUGUUCUAAAGCAAACAGGAAAGCCAGAGGAAAUGAAAGCUGGAAAGUAUGUGUUGGGGAAUCCAAAACACUUCCAGCAGUUCAGCAGCAGCUCCAGUGUUGUGCUGGCUAAAGCUAUUCCAGCUUUUCCUUCCUGUAACAAGAAAAGAAGGAUCUGGAGGGUGGGAGAGAGGAGAAUCCAAUUGGAUGAGCUAGACUGUUGAUGAUCCUUCAUUUCUGCCUAUUCAGUUCAGUGAAUUCUCCAUUCUGGUGUAAUAGGUUUCGGAACGUAGUUUGUAAUGUAGGCCUUUUUUCUGGUGUCACAUGUGUUAUCCCAGAGCGGCAGUGAGGGGGUUGAUAACGGGGGGUUUCCACGUGUAGUGAAUACUCAUCAUCCAUAUGACAUGUUUCUGGCAUUCAACAUCAUCGUGUGGAACAGCCUAUCUCCAUAUUUAUGUAACAGGGAUGUGUAGCUACACACAACAUAAAUCAACAGCCAACAUCUUUAGGGGUCAAAUUAUUAGUAGUGCUUGCCUGAUCAAACAUCACAUUACUAUUGAAAAUAGAUGAGAUUAGGGAUUUAAACAAACCCUUAAUCCAAAGCAUUAAAUUUAAGGUGCAUAAUUUGCCCUGCCUCAUGAAUCAUACUUUAAAUUGUGCAGCUAACUGAAAAGUGUGGUAAAAAAAGUGCUGGUAAAAUGGGACAAUCCCCUAAUAUUUAUAUAUGUAAAAUGUAUAAUAUAUGACAUGAAUCAUACUUCAAUUUGCUGUGUGUACUUUUCUGGUAAAGGGAU